rfam:Oryza glumipatula chromosome 8, whole genome shotgun sequence.
AAUAAGCGCAGUUGUGGGUUCCAGUGUCCAACUUUGACCAUCUGUCUUAUUUGAAAUAUUUGUAUGAUUAGUAUUUCUAUUGUUAUUACAUGAUAAAAUAUAAAUAAUACUUUAUGUGUGACUUAACUUUUAAUUUUUUUCAUAAAUUUUUCAAAUAAGACGGACGGUCAAACGUUGGGCACGGAAAUUAAUUUAUGGCUGUACUUAUA